rnacentral:rRNA from 1 species
UACGAAGGGGGCUAGCGUUGUUCGGAAUUACUGGGCGUAAAGGGCGCGUAGGCGGUGAUCUUUGUCAGAGGUGAAAGCCCGGGGCUCAACUCCGGAAUUGCCUUGAAACGGGAUUGCUUGAGUCCGAGAGAGGAUGGCGGAAUUCCUAGUGUAGAGGUGAAAUUCGUAGAUAUUAGGAAGAACACCGGUGGCGAAGGCGGCCAUCUGGCUCGGUACUGACGCUGAUGCGCGAAAAGCGUGGGGGAGCAAACAGG